rnacentral:rRNA from 1 species
GACAGAGGGUGCAAACGUUGCUCGGAAUUACUGGGCGUAAAGCGCGCGCAGGCGGUUCUUCAAGUCAGAGGUGAAAGCCCAGAGCUCAACUCUGGAAUGGCCUUUGAGACUAGAGAACUAGGGUACGGGAGAGGUGAGUGGAAUUCCGAGUGUAGAGGUGAAAUUCGUAGAUAUUCGGAAGAACACCAGUGGCGAAGGCGGCUCACUGGCCCGUUACCGACGCUCAGGCGCGACAGCGUGGGGAGCAAACAGG